GCUGCCUGUCCGACUUUGUUUCUCUCGUGCCCCUCUGUAGUCCGUCCUGGGGAGCUGAAGAACAACUCGACAAAGUCCCAACUAUGGAAGGCGACAACAUAAUAAUGCCUGUUUGACUCGGGGAGAUUUUCCAAGAUGCCAGGCCUUUUGUCCAGCCCUGUGUGUCUGACAGUCAUCUGGGUUUUAUCUUGGUCGCUGCGUCCCAUUCGUGCUCAGAUCCAACCUGAUGAAGUGUCAGGCGUUCAGUAUGCGCUCUUGGAGUCGAAUGUGACACUGGCAUGCAGGAAGUCACAAAUCAGG